ACACGACUACAUUAGAUACCCCUGUAGUCCUAGCCGUAAACGAUACUCGCUAGGUGUCGGCCACGGUGCGACCGUUGUCGGUGCCGUAGGGAAGCCGUGAAGCGAGCCACCUGGGAAGUACGGCCGCAAGGCUGAAACUUAAAGGAAUUGGCGGGGGAGCACCACAACAGGUGGAGCCUGCGGUUUAAUUGGAUUCAACGCCGGACAUCUCACCGGAUAAGACAGCUGAAUGAUUGUCAAUCUGAAGGUUUUACAUGACUAGCUG
rnacentral:rRNA from 1 species